GGGCCCGCACAAGCGGUGGAGUAUGUGGUUUAAUUCGACGCAACGCGCAAAACCUUACCUGGUCUUGACAUCCCGGGAAUUUUCUGGAAACAGGAAAGUGCCUCGCAAGAGGAGCCUGGAGACAGGUGCUGCAUGGCUGUCGUCAGCUCGUGUCGUGAGAUGUUGGGUUAAGUCCCGCAACGAGCGCAACCCUUAUCUUUAGUUGCCAUCAUUGAGUUGGGCACUCUAAAGAGACUGCCGGUGUCAAACCGGAGGAAGGUGGGGAUGACGUCAAGUCCUCAUGGCCUUUAUGACCAGGGCUACACACGUACUACAAUGGCCGGUACAGAGGGCAGCGACACCGCGAGGUGAAGCCAAUCCCGUAAAGCCGGUCUCAGUCCGGAUUGGAGUCUGCAACUCGACUCCAUGAAGUUGGAAUCGCUAGUAAUCGCAGAUCAGCACGCUGCGGUGAAUACGUUCCCGGGCCUUGUACACACCGCCCGUCACACCACGGGAGUUGAUUGUACCAGAAGCAGUUGAGCUAACCGCAAGGGGGCAGGCUGCCAAGGUAUGGUUGGUAAGGGGGGUGUAAGUCGUAACAAGGUAAAUCUCUGGAAGAUC
rnacentral:rRNA from 1 species